AAUGCACUGCUAUUUUUAGUAUAAACAUAUAUCAAAUUGUAAUUAAUAAACGUGGGAAGGUCUAUGUGUAAAUAUAGGUUAAUACAGUUGAGAGUAUAGACUACUCUCUUGUGAGUGAAAGGCUGUUGUGGGAUUAAUAUAUAUCACCGGAGCGAUUAUAUUAGUAUUUUUAUACCCUGAACAAGGUAUUAAGUUUGUCACGAAGUUUGUAACACCCAGAAGGAAGCGUCGGAGGCCCUAUAAAGUAUAUAUAUAAAUGAUCAGUAGGUUGAACUGAGUCGAUUUAGCCAUGCCCGUCUCUCUGUCUGUCUGUCUGUAUAUAUACGAACUAGUCGUUCAGUUUUUAAGAUAUCGUUUUGAAAUUUUGCAGAUGUUAUUUUCUCUUCAAGAAGCUGUUCAUUUGUCGGAACUGCCGAUAUCGGACCACUAUAUCAUAUAGCUGCCAUACAAACUGAACGAUCGGAAUCAAGGGCUUGUAUGGAAAACUUCCGCAUUUUACUACAUAUCUUCACGAAAUUUGGUGUGAGUUAUUGCUCAUAGAAAUAAUUUAAUCUCCGAAAAAAUUGUUCAGAUCGCAUACCUUCCAGUGACAAGCAACCAUCUUCGAAAAUAAAUGAUAUUACACAACACAGUAGUAAUACCUUUGUGAUAUGACAUAUGCAGAAAUUAUCCAACAUAUCGAGAAAGGAUAUAUCUUUCAAAAAUGAUUGCUUGCUUGCUUUCAGCGCUAAACACAACACUUACACAAGGGAAUCAAUGUGAUUGUACUGUAUUAGAAAUCAGCUUCUGUGUAUGGGCGAAAACAGCAUGCAAAUUUGUGCGUGGCAGAUCAUAAUUUUCUCGGAUGAAUACAAGUUCGAUAUCUUUGGAUCGAACGGUGUCCACAAAUUAUGGAGAAGAUCGGGCGAACAGUUCAGUGAAGAAUGCCUACAAAUAACUGUGCCCCACCAGUAACCAGGAUGGUCUGGUGCUGUUUUUCUUAUGAUGGAAUAAAAGGAAUUCAUUUAAUUGAGGGAAGAGUCAACGGUGAGGCAUAUAAAAAAACCUGGAAGCCAAUUUGAUACCCUGCAACGAAGUACUGUACCAAAAGGACGUCAUCUUUCAGUGCGAUUCCGAGCCAUGUCAUAGGUCCAACAUUGUACACGAUUUUAUGUCUGAAAUGGGAAUAAACCAGUUAACGUGGCCUGGGAAAAACCCCGAUUUAAACCCGAUCAAAAACCUGUGGACGAUUAUGAAGAAACCGAUGACCGCCCAGAAGCCGAAGAAAAAAAUGCAUUUCAUGCUUUUGAAGAUGUGGUUUGAUAAUAUUUUGGUCGGAUUACUCCAAAAGCUUAUUUCGUCCAUACCAGCAAGGAAUAGGGUGGUAAUUAAGGCAAAAGGAGUCAAAUUAUGAAGUUUUUACUUCACAAUCACUUUGAUAUUACUUUUGUAUGAAUUUCGUGAUCAAUAUUGCUGAAUAUGUAUUCCUAAUUCCUGAAAAAUUUAACAUUAAUAUUUGCUAAUAAUUUAUUUUAUCUCAUAUUACAAAUUCAA